rnacentral:rRNA from 1 species
UGGGGAAUUUUGGACAAUGGGCGAAAGCCUGAUCCAGCAAUGCCGCGUGUGUGAAGAAGGCCUUCGGGUUGUAAAGCACUUUUGUCCGGAAAGAAAUCCUUGGCUCUAAUACAGUCGGGGGAUGACGGUACCGGAAGAAUAAGCACCGGCUAACUACGUGCCAGCAGCCGCGGUAAUACGUAGGGUGCAAGCGUUAAUCGGAAUUACUGGGCGUAAAGCGUGCGCAGGCGGUUUGCUAAGACCGAUGUGAGAUCCCCGGGCUCAACCUGGGAACUGCAUUGGUGACUGGCAGGCUAGAGUAUGGCAGAGAGGGGUAGAAUUCCACGUGUAGCAGUGAAAUGCGUAGAGAUGUGGAGGAAUACCGAUGGCGAAGGCAGCCCCCUGGGGCCAAUACUGACGCUCAUGCACGAAAAGCGUGGGGAGCAAACAGGAUUAGAUACCCUGGUAGUCCACGCCCUAAACGAUGUCAACUAGUUGUUGGGGAUUCAUUUCCUUAGUAACGUAGCUAACGCGUGAAGUUGACCGCCUGGGGAGUACGGUCGCAAAGAUUAAAACUCAAAUGAAUUGACGGGGU